GACGAACGCUGGCGGCGUGCUUAACACAUGCAAGUCGAACGAUGAAGAAAAGAAUCGAAGCUUCGGCAGAAAUUCAUUUCGGAUUAGUGGCAGACGGGUGAGUAACGCGUGAGCAACCUACCUCUUACAAAGGGAUAGCCUCGGGAAACCGGGAUUAAUACCAUAUAACAUUGCGACGAAGCAUUUCGAUGCAAUCAAAGCUACGGCGGUAAGAGAUGGGCUCGCGUCCCAUUAACCGGAUGGUGAGGUAACGGCUCACCAUAGUGACGAUGGGUAACCGGCCUGAGAGGGCGAACGGUCACACUGGAACUGAGACACGGUCCAGACUCCUACGGGAGGCAGCAGUGGGGAAUAUUGCACAAUGGAGGGAACUCUGAUGCAGCGACGCCGCGUGAGUGAUGAAGGAAUUCGUUUCGUAAAACUCUGUUCUAUGGGAAGAAAAGGACUGUACCAUAGGAGAAAGCGCCGGCUAAAUACGUG
rnacentral:rRNA from 1 species